rfam:Triticum urartu cultivar G1812 contig881608, whole genome shotgun sequence.
CUUGUACUCCCUCCGUCCGAAAAUACUUGUCAUUGAAAUGGAUGUAUCUAGAUGUAUUUUAGUUCUAGACACAUCCAUUUUGAUGACAAGUAAUUCCGACGGAGGGAGUACUUG